GGAUUUUCAGUGAAACAGUUCUUCCAGUUAUUUUUCAUGAGUCUCACGGAGGACUCAAUAACCAGAGCCACUCUUCCUGUCCAACAAUUCUUCAGGGUCACCAGCCCUGAAGAGUUUUUCACCAAAUUGCAAACUGGAGUCAGUUGGAUAAAAUGACCUAUCAGAACCCGGUAUGUAUUAUAGUGUUGCCAGCUGCAUAGUACUCCAUUGUGAACAUCAGAAUGAGAAAAAUAGAAGUGCUUGACAGUCGUAGUUAUGGUGCAAAUGCUAAUCUUUGAUUAACUUUUGAAAACAUGUUUGAAGAUAGUUAUUCUACUGGUUCCCUUUUCUCAGUACAUAUUUUAUGGAGGAAUACUGAAGAAUAGCUGAGAAAAUGGUUCUUUGCUCUUCUUAAGAAAAAAGCAUCUAAGAUUUUUGUCGAAAUAUGGGACCUCAGAAUUGGAAAAGUAUUAGAGCUCAGAGUACACACUCCUUCCUUGAUUUCCAGAUAAGAAAGCAAAUUCAGAGUGGUUAAAAGAUUUGGCUUAGGGCAUUUGAAUAAUAACUAAAA